GAUGAACGCUGACAGAAUGCUUAACACAUGCAAGUCAACUUGAACUUCGGUUUGGGUGGCGGACGGGUGAGUAACGCGUAACGAACUUGCCUCACAGAUAGGGACAACAUUUGGAAACGAAUGCUAAUACCUGAUAUUAUGAUUAUAUGGCAUCGUAUAAUUAUGAAAGCUAUAUGCGCUGUGAGAGAGCUUUGCGUCCCAUUAGCUAGUUGGAGAGGUAACGGCUCACCAAGGCGAUGAUGGGUAGCCGGCCUGAGAGGGUGAUCGGCCACAAGGGGACUGAGACACGGCCCUUACUCCUACGGGAGGCAGCAGUGGGGAAUAUUGGACAAUGGACCAAGAGUCUGAUCCAGCAAUUCUGUGUGCACGAUGAAGUUUUUCGGAAUGUAAAGUGCUUUCAGUUGGGAAGAAAAAAAUGACGGUACCAACAGAAGAAGUGACGGCUAAAUACGUG
rnacentral:rRNA from 1 species